rnacentral:rRNA from 1 species
GACGUAGGGCGCGAGCAUUGUCCGGAUUUAUUGGGCGUAAAGAGCUCGUAGGCGGCUUGUCGCGUCGUUCGUGAAACCCGGGGCUCAACUCCGGGCUUGCGGGCGAUACGGGCAGGCUAGAGUUCGGUAGGGGAGACUGGAAUUCCUGGUGUAGCGGUGAAAUGCGCAGAGUAUCAGGAGGAACACCGGUGGCGAAGGCGGGUCUCUGGGCCAUAACUGACGCUGAGGAGCGAAAGCGUGGGGAGCGAACAGG